UAAGCGGAGGAAAAGAAACUAACAAGGAUUCCCCUAGUAACUGCGAGUGAAGCGGGAAAAGCUCAAAUUUAAAAUCUGGUGGUCUUUGGCCGUCCGAGUUGUAAUUUAGAGAAGCGUCUUCCGCGCUGGACCGUGCACAAGUCCCCUGGAAUGGAGCGUCAUAGAGGGUGAGAGUCCCGUCUUUGGCACGGACACACCAGGGCUUUUGUGAUGCGCUCUCGAAGAGUCGAGUUGUUUGGGAAUGCAGCUCAAAAUGGGUGGUGAACUCCAUCUAAAGCUAAAUAUUGGCGAGAGACCGAUAGCGAACAAGUACCGUGAGGGAAAGAUGAAAAGCACUUUGGAAAGAGAGUGAAACAGUACGUGAAAUUGUUGAAAGGGAAACGCUUGAAGUCAGUCGCGUCGACCGAGACUCAGCCUUGCCUUGGCUUGGUGUACUUCUCGGCUGACGGGUCAGCAUCAAUUUUGCCCCUUGGAUAAUGGUGAGGGAAAUGUGACACCUUUACGGUGUGUUAUAGUCUCUUGUCGCAUGCAAGGGUCGGGAUUGAGGAACUCAGCACGCGCCCUUGGGCGUCGGGGCUUUUGCCCACGAUACGUGCUUAGGAUGUUGGCAUAAUGGCUUUAAACGACC
rnacentral:rRNA from 1 species